rnacentral:rRNA from 1 species
GAUGAACGCUAGCUACAGGCUUAACACAUGCAAGUCGCGGGGCAGCAUGGGGGUUGCUUGCAACUCCCGAUGGCGACCGGCGCACGGGUGAGUAACGCGUAUCCAACCUGCCCUUCACCACGGGAUAACCCGGCGAAAGUCGGACUAAUACCGUAUGUUGUCCAUUGACGGCAUCCGAUUUGGACGAAAGGCUUUGCGGUGAAGGAUGGGGAUGCGUCCGAUUAGCCAGACGGCGGGGUAACGGCCCACCGUGGCUACGAUCGGUAGGGGUUCUGAGAGGAAGGUCCCCCACACUGGAACUGAGACACGGUCCAGGCUCCUACGGGAGGCAGCAGUGAGGAAUAUUGGUCAAUGGGCGUAAGCCUGAACCAGCCAAGUAGCGUGCAGGAUGACGGCCCUAUGGGUUGUAAACUGCUUUUAUGCGGGGAUAAAGUGGCCCACGUGUGGGCUUUUGCAGGUACCGCAUGAAUAAGGACCGGCUAAUUCCGUG